rnacentral:rRNA from 1 species
CCUACGGGAGGCAGCAGUGGGGGAUAUUGCACAAUGGGGGAAACCCUGAUGCAGCGACACCGCGUGGGUGAAGAAGCGCUUCGGCGUGUAAAGCCCUAUCAGUGGGGAAGAAAAAGGACGCUACCCAAAGAAGACGCACCGGCGAAAUACGCGCCAGCAGCCGCGGUAAUACGUAGGGCGGAAGCGUUAACCAGAAUGACUGGGGGGAAAGGGCUCGGAGUCGGUUGUACAAGUCUGAUGGGAAAGCCCACGGCACAACUGUGGUAGUGCAGUGGAAACUGUAGAGCUAGAGUGUCGUAGAGGGAAGUAGAAUUCCUAGUGUAGCGGUGAAAUGCGUAGAGAUUAGGAGGAACACCAGUGGCGAAGGCGGCUUGCUGGACGAAAACUGACGUUGAGGCUCGAAAGCGUGGGGAGCAAACAGGAUUAGAUACCCUGGUAGUC